rnacentral:tRNA from 1 species
ACUUUUAUCCAUUGGUGUUAGGAACCAAAUAAUUGGUGCAACUCCAAAUAAAAGUA